AGUGAACGCUGGCGGUAGGCCUAACACAUGCAAGUCGAACGGCAGCACAGUAAGAGCUUGCUCUUACGGGUGGCGAGUGGCGGACGGGUGAGGAAUACAUCGGAAUCUACUUUUUCGUGGGGGAUAACGUAGGGAAACUUACGCUAAUACCGCAUACGACCUACGGGUGAAAGCAGGGGAUCUUCGGACCUUGCGCGAUUGAAUGAGCCGAUGUCGGAUUAGCUAGUUGGCGGGGUAAAGGCCCACCAAGGCGACGAUCCGUAGCUGGUCUGAGAGGAUGAUCAGCCACACUGGAACUGAGACACGGUCCAGACUCCUAAGGGAGGCAGCAGUGGGGAAUAUUGGACAAUGGGCGCAAGCCUGAUCCAGACAUACCGCGUGGGUGAAGAAGGCCUUCGGGUUGUAAAGCCCUUUUGUUGGGAAAGAAAAGCAGCAGGUUAAUACCCCGCUGUUCUGACGGUACCCAAAGAAUAAGCACCGGCUAACUUCGUG
rnacentral:rRNA from 1 species